rnacentral:rRNA from 1 species
CACGUAGGGGGCAAGCGUUGUCCGGAAUGAUUGGGCGUAAAGAGCUCGUAGGCGGCUCGGUAAGUCAGGUGUCAAAUCCUCAGGCUCAACCUGGGGCUCCACCUGAUACUGCUGUGGCUAGAGUCCGGUAGGGGAGCGUGGAAUUCCAGGUGUAGCGGUGAAAUGCGUAGAUAUCUGGAGGAACACCGGUGGCGAAGGCGGCGUUCUGGACUGCAACUGACACUGAGAAACGAAAGCCAGGGGAGCAAACGGG